rnacentral:tRNA from 1 species
ACUAUUUUGGCAGAAGAUUUAGUGCUAUGGAUUUAGAUUCUAUAAAUAUAAUUAAUAAUUAUAAAUAGUA